ACGGAGGGAGAACAUGCCUGCUGAGGUGGUACGGAACGCCGCCAUGUGGAGAUUUGAAACUCCCCGCUUUUUGGUCAUGCUGGUGAGCAUCCAUUCGUUUUCAGAAACUUCACUGGAGGACAGUAGUGAGUGACCAACCCUCCACAACCAACUUGCCAGUCUGAGAUCUGUACACAAGGUCAGUUAAGGAGGGCAGGGGAGGCAGCAUGGUGGUCGAAAUGUAAAAUCACACAUUAAUGAACGCAUCUUCAUAUUCCUCAUCCCUAACGUCUGGCUGCAAGGUAUCCAUCGAGUCCCCCUGCCUCCCACCGUCCUCUUCAGUGCCAUGACAGGUAGGACCGAUGAUGUAGCGGUAGUCUCCACCGACAGCCAGAGCUGCCCCAGAAGACACCACGAGCCAGUCUUUCUCAUCCUCCUCCAUCCCCACACACUGCGAGGGCAUUCCUGACCAGAAGGGGUCCUUCCUUGGACCCAGUGCCCCUGCCCCCUGCUCCCCCUUGUCAUUCUCCAGGUUAACGUAGAGAAGGACCUCCUUAAUGCAGCUAGGCCCAGGGGAUAGGCUGGCCCACAGCCCCUCCAGCUGGUCAAUCAGGUGCAGGAAACUGGGGCGGCACUUGGGAACAGGGCUCCAGCAGCUAUGCAUGAUCUCAUAACUGGGAAAAGAGAGGGAGAGGACUUGUACUGUCAGGUUGUUAUUGUAAAGUAAUGUGUUCUCAAUGAGUUACCUGGUUAAAUAGGCAGUAAAAUAUACAAACUCAUGAUUAAAUCAUUUUCAUUAAUCUGGCACCAAUGAUGAUAAUUAGAUUGUUUUAGUCAUUUGAAAAGUAUAGCACUGAUCCCAUCAGUUCUGAUGAAGGCCUUGCAAGCUGAUUUUCAACGCCAGAGAAUUUUCUAAUCAGACCCAGUGGACCACUCACAUGUUGUCUCGGCAGUCAGGUGGCUGUUUGAGCCUCUCUCCCUUGAUGAGGUACUCAUAGAUUUCGGAGUUCUCCACCCCGGGAUAAGGGGUCUGUCCCCGUGCCAUGAUCUCCCACAUGGUGACUCCAAAUGCCCACUGUGGGGAAAACGGAGUCAGUCAAUUAACUUCCGGGGCCACUAAAAAGGCAAAAAUAAGGAAUUGACAGUUCCCAAAAACAUAAUCAACAUAUCUAUUAAACAGGGACUCAGUCAGUUAACUUCUGUGGCCACUACAUCGUUUAAAUAUACGAAAAUUAAAUUGAUUGGUCUGGAAACAAAAUCAACAUCUUAUCCACGAUGCAUUGAAUUGCAUUACAAAACACAAAUGUAAUCCUUUUCACAAAGAGGAUUUCAAGAUGGGGAUCCCGAACUGAAAUAUUCCCGCCCUACAGUGUCACCAUCAUUUAGAAACUGAAGAUACGAGUUUGUGUGUACUGUGACCACUAUGAGGGUGCAUCCAUCUUUGUAUAUACCACAUCACUCUGAGUAGUGUAGACAUUGUCAGCAAGGCUCUCCAGUGCUAUCCACUUGACAGGCAGCUUUGAGACAGAUCCUUGUCUGUAGUAGUCGCCACUGUAGAUUUUCUUUGACAGCCCAAAGUCUGCCACACAGACUGUCAGGUUUUCACUAAGCCUAUGAACAAAGGAGAGGAGAUGGUCACAACUAACCCACAGGCAAGAUAACGCUCUAGUAAAUUCAGUGUAAACUAUAUCAGAGGGAGUCCCAGUUAGGAAAGAGUAAAGUGACGGGUUGCUGUCUCAAAUGUUGCCAUAUUCCCCAUUUAGUACACUAGUUUUGACCAGGGCCCUACAGGGAAUAGGGUGCCAUUUGGGACAAAGACACAUUCUACUGUGCUCGUAGAUUCUCACAUGCAGUUGCGCGCAGCCAGAUCUCUGUGUAUGAUGCUUUUGUUGCUCAGGUACGCCAUUCCACGAGCGAUGUCCAACAUGAACUGUAUGAGCAUCUGCAGUGACACGGUCUGUGUAAGGGAGAGACCGCAACAUUUUGCUAAAACGUGAUUUGAACCUAUACAAAAAGUCUACUAUGAAAAUAAAUAAUAAUUUGGGCCCACAGGUCAACCUGGUCUUUCCUCUAGUUCCAUAACAUGAAAUAAAGAAAUGAUUUAAAACAUUCUGUAUGUAAACUGUCAAAUGUAACAGUAGAAGACCUUGAGUCCUCUGGACACACAUUGGGCGGAAAUUUAUUAUAGAUGGUGUUAUAGGGUGAGCGUACAAAACAUUAGUAACACCGGCUCUUUCCAUGACAGACUGUCCAGGUGAAAGCUAUGAUCCCUUAUUGAUGUUACCUGUUAAAUCCACUUCAAAUCAGUGUAGAUGAAGGGGAGGAGACCGGUUAAAGAAGGAUUUUUAAGCCUUGAGACAAUUAAGACAUGUAUUGUGUAUGUGUGCCACUCAGAGGGUGAAUGGGCAAGACAAAAGUUAAGAGCCUUUGAACGGGGUAUGGUAGUAGGCGUCAUGCCCACCGGUUUGAGUGUGACAAGAACUGCAAAGCUGCACGCUCAACGGUUUACCGUGUGUAUCAAGAACGGUCCACCACACAAAGGACAUCCAGCCAACUGGACACAACUGUGGGACGCAUUGGAGUCAACAUGGGCCAGCAUCCCUGAGGGAUGCUUUCAACACCUUGUGGAGUCCAUGCCCCGACAAUUUGAGGCUAUUCUGAAGGCAAAAGGGGGUGCAACUCAAUAUUAAGGAAUGUGUUGCUAAUGUUUUGUACACUCAAUGUAUCUAUUUUAGUAUGCAUACAAGUGUGUAUAAAAUGUUUAGGGGGCACUCACAAAGGGCUCGUCUCCAAGGCGGGACAAGAGCAGAAAUGUGUGAAGGUCCCCAUGCUUCAUGAAUGGCAGGAUAACCAUGGGGAUGGGCAACCGUUGCUGAGGGCGACUGUGCAAACUCACUCCUGGAGGACCAAAACAUAUUCAAUAUAAUCAACAACUCACUGCAUUGAGUUGCUGUAAUGACAGUUACAACUCUUUCUCUGAUCCUAAGGAGCCUACUUGUACCCGAUUGUAGAAUAUAUUAUUUGUAAUCUAGCAAUGCCUUUCGUACAUAAAGUUGUCAUGAAUUUAAUUGAAAUAAAAGUUGGCCUAAGU